rnacentral:rRNA from 1 species
UACGGGGGGAGCAAGCGUUGUUCGGAUUUACUGGGCGUAAAGGGCGCGUAGGCGGUCAGCACAGGUCAGUUGUGAAAUCUCCGGGCUUAACCCGGAAAGGGCAACUGAUACUGUGCGACUAGAGUGCGGAAGGGGCAACUGGAAUUCUCGGUGUAGCGGUGAAAUGCGUAGAUAUCGAGAGGAACACCGGCGGCGAAGGCGGGUUGCUGGGCCGACACUGACGCUGAUGCGCGAAAGCCAGGGGAGCGAACGGG